GAACGCAUGUGGACGCAAAGCCGCUCUUAAUCAGCGGGUCCUUGGUUCGAGCCCAAGUGCGUCCACCA
rnacentral:tRNA from 3 species